rnacentral:tRNA from 1 species
GGCCCCAUCAUCUAACCCGGUUAGGAUACAGGGUUUUCAUCCCUGGUAUUUGGGUUCAAAUCCCAAUGGGGUCA